rnacentral:rRNA from 1 species
UACGUAGGGUGCGAGCGUUGUCCGGAAUUAUUGGGCGUAAAGAGCUCGUAGGCGGCCUGUCGCGUCGGAUGUGAAAGCCCGGGGCUUAACCCCGGGUCUGCAUUCGAUACGGGCAGGCUAGAGUGUGGUAGGGGAGAUCGGAAUUCCUGGUGUAGCGGUGAAAUGCGCAGAUAUCAGGAGGAACACCGGUGGCGAAGGCGGAUCUCUGGGCCAUUACUGACGCUGAGGAGCGAAAGUGUGGGGAGCGAACAGG